rnacentral:rRNA from 1 species
GAUGAACGCUGGCGGCGUGCCUAAUACAUGCAAGUCGAGCGAACAGACGAGGAGCUUGCUCCUCUGACGUUAGCGGCGGACGGGUGAGUAACACGUGGAUAACCUACCUAUAAGACUGGGAUAACUUCGGGAAACCGGAGCUAAUACCGUAUAAUAUAUUCAACCGCAUGGUUCAAUAGUGAAAGACGGUGUUGCUGUCACUUAUAGAUGGCUCCGGGCCGCAUUAGCUAUUUGGUAAGGUAACGGCUUACCAAGGCCACCAUGCGUAGCCGACCUGAGAGGGUGAUCGGCCACACUGGAGCUGAGCCACGGUCCAGACUCCUACGGGAGGCAGCAGUAGGGAAUCUUCCGCAAUGGGCGAAAGCUUGACGGAUCAACGCCGCGCGAGUGAUGAAGGUCUUCGGAUCGUAAAACUCUGUUAUUAGGGAAGAACAAAUGUGUAAGUAACUAUGCACGUCUUGACGGUACCUAAUCAGAAAGCAACGGCUAACUACGUG